UAUAAGCAAUCUAUACCGUGAAACUGCGAAUGGCUCAUUAAAUCAGUUAUCGUUUAUUUGAUAGUACCUUACUACUUGGAUAACCGUGGUAAUUCUAGAGCUAAUACAUGCUAAAAACCUCGACUUCGGAAGGGGUGUAUUUAUUAGAUAAAAAACCAAUGCCCUUUGGGGCUCCUUGGUGAUUCAUAAUAACUUAACGAAUCGCAUGGCCUUGUGCCGGCGAUGGUUCAUUCAAAUUUCUGCCCUAUUAACUUUCGAUGGUAUGGUUUUGGCAUACCAUGGUGUCAAUGGGUAACGGGGAAUUAGGGUUCUAUUCCGGAGAGGGAGCCUGAGAAACGGCUACCACAUCCAAGGAAGGCAGCAGGCGCGCAAAUUACCCAAUCCCGACACGGGGAGGUAGUGACAAUAAAUACUGAUACAGGGCUCUUUUGGGUCUUGUAAUUGGAAUGAGUACAAUUUAAAUCCCUUAACGAGGAACAAUUGGAGGGCAAGUCUGGUGCCAGCAGCCGCGGUAAUUCCAGCUCCAAUAGCGUAUAUUAAAGUUGUUGCAGUUAAAAAGCUCGUAGUUGAACCUUGGGCCUGGCUGGCCGGUCCGCCUCACCGCGUGCACUGGUCCGGCCGGGCCUUUUCUUCUGGGGAGCCGCAUGCCCUUCACUGGGUGUGUCGGGGAACCAGGACUUUUACUUUGAAAAAAUUAGAGUGUUCAAAGCAGGCCUAUGCUCGAAUACAUUAGCAUGGAAUGAUAAAAUAUGCCAAAUGGUUCUAUUUUGUUGGUUUCUAGGACCGUUGGAAUGAUUAAUAGGGAUAGUCGGGGGCAUCAGUAUUCAACUGUCAGAGGUGAAAUUCUUGGAUUUGUUGAAGACUAACUACUGCGAAAGCAUUUGCCAAGGAUGUUUUCAUUAAUCAGUGAACGAAAGUUAGGGGAUCGAAGACGAUCAGAUACCGUCGUAGUCUUAACCAUAAACUAUGCCGACUAGGGAUCGGGCGAUGUUAUUUUUUUGACUCGCUCGGCACCUUACGAGAAAUCAAAGUCUUUGGGUU
rnacentral:rRNA from 1 species